rnacentral:rRNA from 1 species
AGUGAACGCUGGCGGUAGGCCUAACACAUGCAAGUCGAACGGCAGCACAGUAAGAGCUUGCUCUUACGGGUGGCGAGUGGCGGACGGGUGAGGAAUACAUCGGAAUCUACUUUUUCGUGGGGGAUAACGUAGGGAAACUUACGCUAAUACCGCAUACGACCUACGGGUGAAAGCAGGGGAUCUUCGGACCUUGCGCGAUUGAAUGAGCCGAUGUCGGAUUAGCUAGUUGGCGGGGUAAAGGCCCACCAAGGCGACGAUCCGUAGCUGGUCUGAGAGGAUGAUCAGCCACACUGGAACUGAGACACGGUCCAGACUCCUACGGGGGGCAGCAGUGGGGAAUAUUGGACAAUGGGCGCAAGCCUGAUCCAGCCAUACCGCGUGGGUGAAGAAGGCCUUCGGGUUGUAAAGCUCUUUUGUUGGGAAAGAAAAGCAGCAGGUUAAUACCCCGCUGUUCUGACGGUACCCAAAGAAUAAGCACCGGCUAACUUCGUG